UUAACCAAUAGGGCGUUAACCAUCACUUG
rnacentral:piRNA from 1 species